rnacentral:rRNA from 1 species
AUUGAACGCUGGCGGCAUGCCUUACACAUGCAAGUCGAACGGCAGCGCGGGGCAACCUGGCGGCGAGUGGCGAACGGGUGAGUAAUAUAUCGGAACAUACCCUAGAGUGGGGGAUAACGUAGCGAAAGUUACGCUAAUACCGCAUACGCACUAAGGUGGAAAGUAGGGGGAGUCUUCGGACCUCAUGCUCAUGGAGUGGCCGAUAUCUGAUUAGCUAGUUGGUGAGGUAAAGGCUCACCAAGGCGACGAUCAGUAGCUGGUU